rnacentral:lncRNA from 1 species
AAACUUGUUGGAUACAUCAAUUAAUGCAAGAAUGGAUAACUGAAGAUUGAAAAGGAGUUUUGGAUUGGCGAAUAUUUUUGUUCAGUUUUGUUUAUUAAUGAUAGAAUGUAAUGAGAUCCCUGAGGAUUUCAAAGAAUUUGAUCCAGAGAACAGAAGCAAGAGUUGCCCAAGAAAAGGAGAAGGAACAAUUUUGAUGCUGUGGUAGAAAUCUGACGGUAAGAUUAUUGUAGAUGCAGAAAUAUUUUCAAAAAAAGGAGAUCCCUUCAUAGACGUUCUAGUCUCUGUAAAGUGGGAGGUGGUAGUCACAUGUGAGAAUGAGUGACUGGACAGAGAUGGGGUUUUGAAGAGCUUAGUGAAGAGAAUGGGAGAAGGUUACUGAGAGACACAACUGCCAGGAAGCAUCAAACAUUCAGCCAGAGUUAGAGACCAUGAAUUUUUAAUGUCACCAAUCUACGCUGGCUUGGGUAGUAUUUCCUGCCGCACGGUUCUGCAACAAGGAUCUUGAAGACAGAUGGUUAGACUCAGUAUAAAAAUGUACAUUAAUAAAGCUGUGUACAAAAGAAGCCUCAGUAUUCUCAUCUGUGAAAAAUGGGUAUGCACAACAUUUUAUGCGUCUGUAAGAAAUGAAGCAAUUCAUGAAAACCACUUUUCACAGUGCUUGGCAGAGUAACAGUGAAUCAGUGUCGUCAUCAUCAUCAUCAUCACCGCCAUCUUUAUACUGAGUCUAACCAUCUGUCUUCAAGAUCCUUGUUGCAGAACCGUGCGGCAGGAAAUACUACCCAAGCCAGCGUAGAUUGGUGACAUUAAAAAUGCAUGGUCUCUAACUCUGGCUGAAUGUUUGAUGCUUCCUGGCAGUUGUGUCUCUCAGUAACCUUCUCCCAUUCUCCUCACUAAGCUCUUCAAAACCCCAUCUCCGUCCAGUCACUCAUUCUCACAUGUGACUACCACCUCCCACUUUACAGAGACUAGAACGUCUAUGAAGGGAUCUCCUUUGAAAAUAUUUCUGCAUCUACAAUAAUCUUACCAUCAGAUUUCUACCACAGCAUCAGAAUUGUUCCUUCUCCUUUUCUUGGGGGGUCUAUAGUUUUCUCUUCUUGUGAUGUUUUAUCUGGCUUUGGUAUCAGAGUAAUUCUGGGCUGAAAAAAAUGAGCUGGGAAGUGUUCCUUUUCUGUCCAUUUUCUCAGUUGUAAAAACUGAUAUUUCAUCUUUAAAUAUUUGAUGGCAUGCCUUAAUUAAGACAUGAGAGGCUGGGCUUUUGUUUGUAGGAAGAUUUUUAAAUUACUAAUUAAAUUUCUUUACUUGUUCUGGUCUUUUCUAAUUUUCUAUUUCUUCUUGAAUCCAUUUUGGUAAUUUGUAAACAAAAUUAUUUCCUUCCUUCUGCUUACUUUGGAUUUAGUUUGCUCUUUUAUCCCCCAGAUUUUAAAGGUGAAAAUUUAGGUUGUUGGGAUUGGAAACUUUCUUUUUUGGUGUCAUAAAUAUUUAAAGUCAUAAAUUUCCCUGUACACAUUAUUUUAUUUGUAUUCUAUAAUUUUCAUCUGUUUUAUUUUAGUUUUUAUUCAACUCGAAACAACUUUUGAUUCUCCUUUGAUUUCUUCUUUGACUCAUGGAUUAUUUAGAAGUGCAUUAGUACCCAAGUAUUUGGUGCAGAUUUCUUUCUGUUGUGGAUCUCCAAUUUAAUUUUGUUGUGUUUAGAAAACAUAUGUUGCAUGAUUUCAGUUUUUUAAAAAUGUAUUGAGAAUUAUUGCAUGGCCCAGCAUGUAAUCCAUUGUGAAGAAUAUUUCAUUCUAAAGAUGUCUAUUCUGCAGUCCUUGAGUGAAAUGGGCAAUAAUAUCAAUUAAGUACCAUUGGUUGAUAAUGUUGUUCAGCCUUUUAUAUGCUUGCUGAUUUUUUAUUGAGUUACUUAUUAUAUCAGUUAUUGAAAUGGAGAAUUGAAAUCCCCAUUAUUUCUUUGUCUAUUUCUCCUUUCAAUACUGUUAAUUUUUGCUUCAAGCAUUUGGGUUUCUGUUAUUAGUUGCAUAUACAUUUAUAAUUGUUAUGUCUUUCUAAUGGAUUGACACUUUUAAUAUUAUGAAAUGUCUU